UAGGGAAUCUUCGGCAAUGGACGAAAGUCUGACCGAGCAACGCCGCGUGAGUGAAGAAGGUUUUCGGAUCGUAAAACUCUGUUGUUAGAGAAGAACAAGGACGUUAGUAACUGAACGUCCCCUGACGGUAUCUAACCAGAAAGCCACGGCUAACUACGUGCCAGCAGCCGCGGUAAUACGUAGGUGGCAAGCGUUGUCCGGAUUUAUUGGGCGUAAAGCGAGCGCAGGCGGUUUCUUAAGUCUGAUGUGAAAGCCCCCGGCUCAACCGGGGAGGGUCAUUGGAAACUGGGAGACUUGAGUGCAGAAGAGGAGAGUGGAAUUCCAUGUGUAGCGGUGAAAUGCGUAGAUAUAAGGAGGAACACCAGUGGCGAAGGCGGCUCUCUGGUCUGUAACUGACGAUGAGGCUCGAAAGCGUGGGGAGCAAACAGG
rnacentral:rRNA from 1 species